CCUUUGGCAAUUCAGUAAACAUUUUAGCAAUUUCUUCUUUCCUGCCUGCUGAAGACUGACUUCCUCCUGCUGCCAAAGUUCUAGAGUCUGGACGUCUGAGAUCAGGGUGCCAGCACUGUCGAGGUCACAGACUGCAGACCUCCUUGUAUCUUCAAAUGGAGGAAAGAGGACAAGAGAGCUCCUGUGGUCCCUUUUAUCAAGAUGAAUGCACAAGGAAAAUGUUGUACAUUUGCACAUUGGAGUACACUUCAGCCAUAAAAAGAAUGAGAUGCUGUCAUUUGCAACAACAGGCCUGAUAAUAUUGAACAUCCUUGCAUCCAUUAAAGUUUACUGUUCUAAGACUUACUUUAACCAAGGUCAACAGCAAUCUGAGACACACUCUUCUCAUGGCAGAUUAUGGGACCAUAAAGCAGGUAAGUAGUUAAGUUUUUGGCUCAGAACUAAUAGACUGAUAUUUCUUUCUACAUUUCUUUCACCAAAAUAAGUCAUGGCUAAGAGCAACAUUAAUAGUGCAAGGAAAUAUUCUACGCAUCUUCUGCCACAAGGUAGGAGGAAUUGAACAGCGGAAAACAAUAACCCAAGCUAACACACCAGGACAUUUAAUAUGUAUAGCUUUCAUUAUAAUAUAUUCAAAUAUAUAUUAAAUAAUUGUGAAUAUUUGCUUCUCCUGGUUUAACAAAAGGUAUGCCAAAAUUCACUUAUUCUGACAUCAUGGACUCUAUUGCAGAAAAUUUAAUUAAAUAAAAUAAUAAUUAGAUAAAUAUUUUAAUUCAUCGUUUUGUUUAAAGGAUAUUUAAUUAAUAGUCCAUAAAUAAAACAGUUCUAAAUUAAAACACAAGAAACAGUUCAAAAAUUAUAAAUCAACUCUAUCGAGAAUAUUGUAGAAGAUUCUCUGUAUGCCCAACUCAUAACAUUUUUUUCAGUGCCAAGUCAGCCAAUAUCCCCAUUUUUGUCAUAUUUAUACUAUUGUUUUAGUUUAGAGUUAAGAACCUAUGGAUUCAGUUUUAAACAAUAUAGUUUAACUGUGACCCUUUAAAAUGUUAGACAAUUAAAAACACUCUUUAUACAUGUUUGUGACCUGAUUUUUUCACUAAAUACGAUAUUUUAGAUUUUUCCAUGUUGACAUAUGCAGCUACAGUCUGUUGAUUUACAUUAUUGUGUAGUAUUUUUGUAUGAACAUACCAAUUUACUUUUUAUAUUUUCAUUAUGGCUUAUAGGAGUUCUUUUCCAACGUUUAUACUUCCCUUAUUAUGCAUUUUUGGAAGCAAAUAUCUUCUUCGAUUUGUGGCUUGUCUUUCUAAUUUUAAUGGUGUCUUUCAAUUAAUAACAGUUCUUAAUUUCUCAAAAAUUAAAAUUUUUCUUUAUUGUAGUUUUGUGUCUUUUAAAAGACAUUCUUAACCAGAAUACACAAACCAUUUUUCAAUAUUUUAAAGGUGGUUUUCCUUUAUAAAUUAUGUCUUCACUUCACCUGAAAUUGAUCUUACUUGCAGUAUGAGGUAAUGUGCCCAGCAUCAUUUUUUUUCUCACAGAUGCAAAGCUGUUUCAACAAUAUUUAUUGAGAAAUUGUUUCUCUAUCUAUUGAUCUGAUGUGUUCAUAUAAUGACUGGGUAUAUUUUAGGUUUUCUAUUUUAUUCCUAUAGUGCUACUAUCUUACUUUUAUUCAAGAAAGAUAUUAGAAGCUCAUUAUCAAUGUCUACAAAACUACCUGAAGGGGUUAUUAUUGUGAUUAUUUGUUAUUAUUACUGUUUAUUGUUCUUCCAGUCUUUG
rnacentral:lncRNA from 1 species